rnacentral:rRNA from 1 species
GCCGCCCCCCCCGAGAGUUUGAUCCUGGCUCAGAUUGAACGCUGGCGGCAUGCCUUACACAUGCAAGUCGAACGGUAGAGUAGCAAUACUCGAGAGUGGCGAACGGGUGAGUAAUAUAUCGGAACGUGCCCAGUCGUGGGGGAUAACGUAGAGAAAUUUACCGCUAAUACCGCAUACGAUCUACCGGAUGAAAGCGGGGGAUCGCCAAGACCUCGCGCGAUUGGAGCGGCUGAUAUCAGAUUAGGUUGUUGAUGAGGUAAAAGCUCACCAAGCCGACGAUCUGUAGCUGGUUUGAGAGAACGACCAGCCACACUGGGACUGAGACACGGCCCAGACUCCUACGGGAGGCAGCAGUGGGGAAUUUUGGACAAUGGGCGAAAGCCUGAUCCAGCAAUGCCGCGUGCAGGAAGAAGGCCUUCGGGUUGUAAACUGCUUUUGUACGGAACGAAACGGUCCUUUCUAAUAAAGAGGGCUAAUGACGGUACCGUAAGAAUAAGCACCGGCUAACUACGUGCCAGCAGCCGCGGUAAUACGUAGGGUGCGAGCGUUAAUCGGAAUUACUGGGCGUAAAGCGUGCGCAGGCGGUUCUAUAAGACAGAUGUGAAAUCCCCGGGCUCAACUUGGGAAUGGCAUUUGUGACUGUAGAGCUAGAGUACGGUAGAGGGGGAUGGAAUUCCGCGUGUAGCCAGUGAAAUGCGUAGAUAUGCGGAGGAACACCGAUGGCGAAGGCAAUCCCCUGGACCUGUACUGACGCUCAUGCACGAAAGCGUGGGGAGCAAACAGGAUUUAGAUACCCUGGUAGUCCACGCCCUAAACGAUGUCAACUGGUUGUUGGGUGCAUUAGUACUCAGUAACGAAGCUAACGCGUGAAGUUGACCGCCUGGGGAGUAGGCCGCAAGGUUGAAUUCUUUAGGAAAGAGG